rnacentral:rRNA from 1 species
AAUAUUGGACAAUGGGCGAAAGCCUGAGCCAGCCAUGCGGCGUGUGUGAGGAAGGUCUUCGGAUUGUAAAGCACUUUAUGUUGGGGGGAAGGGCAUGAAGUUAAUACCUUGCUGUUUUGACGUUACCGACGGAAUAAGCCCGGCUAACGUCGUUCCUGCAGCCGCGGUAAUACGAAGGGUGCACGCGUUAAUCGGAAUUACGGGGAGUAUAGGGGGCGUAGGUGGUUUGUGAAGUUGGAAGUGAAAACCCCGGGCUCAACCUGGGAACUGCUUUAAAAACUGGCAAGCUAGAGUAUGGCGGAGGGUGGUAGAAUUUCCUGUGUAGCGGUGAAAUGCGUAGAUAUAAGAAGGAACACCAGUGGCGAAGGCGACCACCUGGGCUAAUAAUGACACUGAGGUGCGAAAGCGUGGGGAGCAAAC